GAUGAACGCUGGCGGCGUGCCUAAUACAUGCAAGUCGAGCGAACAGACGAGGAGCUUGCUCCUCUGACGUUAGCGGCGGACGGGUGAGUAACACGUGGAUAACCUACCUAUAAGACUGGGAUAACUUCGGGAAACCGGAGCUAAUACCGGAUAAUAUAUUGAACCGCAUGGUUCAAUAGUGAAAGACGGUUUUGCUGUCACUUAUAGAUGGAUCCGCGCCGCAUUAGCUAGUUGGUAAGGUAACGGCUUACCAAGGCGACGAUGCGUAGCCGACCUGAGAGGGUGAUCGGCCACACUGGAACUGAGACACGGUCCAGACUCCUACGGGAGGCAGCAGUAGGGAAUCUUCCGCAAUGGGCGAAAGCCUGACGGAGCAACGCCGCGUGAGUGAUGAAGGUCUUCGGAUCGUAAAACUCUGCUAUUAGGGAAGAUCAAAUGUGUAAGUAACUAUGCACGUCUUGACGGUACCUAAUCAGAAAGCCACGGCUAACUACGUG
rnacentral:rRNA from 1 species